GUGUCAGCAGCCGCGGUAAAACCAGCACCUCAAGUGGUCAGGAGGAUUAUUGGGCCUAAAGCAUCCGUAGCCUGCUUUGUAAGUUUCCGGUUAAAUCCAUUAGCUCAACUGAUGGGCCGCCGGAAAAACUGCAAAGCUAGGGAGUGGGAGAGGUAGACGGUACUCGGUAGGAAGGGGUAAAAUCCUUUGAUCUAUUGAUGACCACCAGUGGCGAAGGCGGUCUACCAGAACACGUUCGACGGUGAGGGAUGAAAGCUGGGGGAGCAAACCGGAUUAGAUACCCGGGUAGUCCCAGCUGUAAACGAUGCAGACUCGGUGAUGCCCUGGCUUGUGGCCAGUGCAGUGCCGCAGGGAAGCCGUUAAGUUUGCCGCCUGGAAGUACGUACGCAAGUAUGAAACUUAAAGGAAUUGGCGGGGGAGCACCACAAGGGGUGAAGCCUGCGGUUCAAUUGGAGUCAACGCCAGAAAUCUUACCCGAAGAGACAGCAGAAUGAAGGUCAAGCUGGAGACUUUACCAGACAAGCUGAGAAGUGGUGCAUGGCCGUCGCCAGCUCGUGCCGUGAGAUGUCCUGUUAAGUCAGGUAACGAGCGAGAUCCCUGCCUCUAGUUGCCACCAUUACUCUCAGGAGUAGUGGGGCGAAUUAGCGGGACCGCCGCAGUUAAUGCGGAGGAAGGAAGGGGCCACGGCAGGUCAGUAUGCCCUGAAACUUUGGGGCCACACGCGGGCUGCAAUGAUAGUGACAAUGAGUUCCUAAACCGAAAGGUGGAGGCAAUCUUCAAACGCUAUCACAGUUAUGAUUGAGGGCUGCAACUCGCCCUCAUGAAUAUGGAAUCCCUAGUAACUGCGUGUCAUUACCGCGCGGUGAAUACGUCCCUGCUCCUUGCACACACCGCCCGUC
rnacentral:rRNA from 1 species